AGUAAUUAUUGUAGUAGGUUGUAGUGGAUUCAGUAAAUAUAUCCAGUUCCUAUUCUAUAUUCUUUCUAGGUGUUAGGCAUGCUCCCAGGAGGUAUAAAAGCCGUCAGUCGCUGCACCGAAGGACUCUAGGAUGCCAUGACUUAGUUUUGGACCGCGGAGAUUGCCCAACAAGCCGAUAAUAUUCCAGCCCUCCAACAUUGUUGUUAAAAAAGUCCACCGCUAUAUGUUAGGUGACUUCCCAAAGCUGCUCGCUUUCUUCUUCUUAUUCUGUUUUCUCAACCCCACAAAAAUCCGGUCACUGAAAUCCUGAACUCUUUUGAUAGUGGCAUGAGUGUUAAGUAAAUUGCACACCUCUUGUGGAAUUCAUUUUCACUUAAUCAUGCUAAUUAUGUGGAGACUUGUUUGUUGUUGUUCUUUGUUUUUUUAAGUAAAUCAAUACCUAAAUUUC
rnacentral:lncRNA from 1 species